CAGGGACCUCCCAGGUCUGAUGUUUUACAAGAAUGCCCGGCCAGUGUACACAGAUCCUGCCGCUGGAUGGUUGUGACAGAUCAAGACAUGAAAUAGCCCUCACCUGCACGGAUUGAAGAGGAAGUGCAGAAGAAUGAAAAAAGGAAAUUAAGGCUUUCUUGGCUGUGCUGCUUGAUAAAUGACCCCAAUGGACUCUGGGUUGUUGCUGAAAGGACUUGGACACCAACAAUUGUCUAUCACAGUGUUUCACCAUAUGACAACAUCUGUAUCCUCCUCAAUGUUUACCAGGCACACUGCCUUAUUCAUAUUAUACUAUUAAAUAAGCCACAAUAUGCAAAGUUUAUAGUAUAUCAUAAGGUAGAUGGUUUUUGUUGAUUAUGGUUCCUGUAAACUAAACUUAAAGUAUGCCAAAGAAGAUACAGUGAUCGGCACCGAGCCAACAGGGCUUGAACGCAAACGCUUGUGAGAUAACUGCCUAUGCACAAGGCCAGCAAGACAGUUCCUUUUCAGAAAUCACCGGGAGCAACCAUGUGUGGGGUACUAUACCAAGCCAGAAAAGGUAGUCAAUGAC